rnacentral:sRNA from 1 species
CGGGUUCUGCUCUUCUCGUAUCACGGGUACAUUCCAGUGGCCUUAAGCAAACCUUCGGGAGCUGGCUCUGUCGUAGCCCUGGCUUCGUUACCUGGCGCCCACCUGUACAUACAGGUCCCCGGGAAUGCACUGCCCGCACGGAUGCUGCGGUUCCCGC